GUGAUGCAAAUUAAAACCAAGCCGAGCAUAUAAAAUCCGUAGGUUAUUGUGCCGAGGCACUUUUCUCCCUUUCACGUGCGGCUUCCUACGAAGAAGAUGCCGCCUCUACCUCACCACCUUCGCCAGCGUGACGGAGCGACAAAAUCAGCUGCGUCCGAACUCCGGCCAGGCAUCGCACGGUGCAGAUCAUCUCCGGCAGAGGCAUCAAGGGAGGAAGGCAAGUACAUUUCAGUCACUUGGGUAUGAGAUUCGGAGAGUAGGUCUAAUUGAUAGGUGAGGGAGAUGUAUUCCAUGUUGGGAUGGAGGGAACGCAGACGGGGAACCCGAGAAGACUUGAUGGAUACACGAUACCAUCCAGAAGUUUCAAGAGUGCUCUGUAGGUCUUGGUUUGUUGAAAUAAAGUUAUUAUUGGUGAACAUGGUCAUACAUGUGUUUCACUUGUUUUCGUAUUUUUAGAUGGUGAUGUUUGUUUAUGCUAAGUAUGAUAUUAUAUGGUGAAGGAUUUGUUUGA